CCCCUCCCUCCGCUCGGCAGCGGGGCGGGCGGCUGAGAGCCGGGUCCGGCGCACGGGGAGGCAGAGGCGGAGAGGCGGGCGAUGGGGAAGGAGCCGCGGCGGUGAUCCUGCGGGCGUCGUCAGGGAGAAACGCGGCGGGAGGGGCGAGAAAGGAGAAGAAGAAGGAGGAAAAGGGAGGGCGGGCCCGGCCCCCUCCCCUCUCCGCCGCGCCGAGGAGGGAGGGCGGACACGAUGCCCGGCUGGCGGGCGCUGCCCGCCCGCCCGCAUGGAGACCGCCGCCCGUAGCGGGGCUGCCGCGCCGCACCGCGGGGUGCGUCUUUGAAUGAGAGGUCAGAAAAAAUGCAACAUGAAGGGAGCUUCAUAUAGACCACUUAAAGAAGUUCACCAUGAUGGAAAGGACUGUGGUAUCCCAUGUAACGAGAAACUUCAUGCAGACAAUCUCAAAGCAUGUGCAUGUGAGGGGUUGAUCCUCACCAACAUUUCCAGGUAUCGUGAAGAGGAUCACAUCACAACCUCCAUGGUGUGUUCGCCCAGGCUGAAGACCUUGGGACAUGCCAGGGGAGACACAGGAGGAGACUUCGCAUCCGUGGAGGGAUCCUGCUCAGCUGGGCAGCAGGAAACCUGAUAAAUUAGUGAAAGGGGUCACCACCAGUUGAAGCUCCUGAUGCAGCACUUCCUCUUACGGAAAUUAAGAGAUUUUGACAAAGGAUCAGACUAAAUGCACUUUGUUCACAGAAUGGCUGUAUUAGGAAGGGAACUCUGGACAUUGUCUAGUCCAACCCACCUGCUAAAUCAGGUUCACCAGAACACGUCACACAGGAAAGUGUCCAGGUGGGGUUUGAAUUUCUCCAGAGAAGGAGACUCCAUAGCCUCUCUGGGCUGUGCCUGGAGGCUGCAGCUCGCUGCACCAGCUGGGAGAGAAGCCCCUGCCUGGCCCCUCGGGCACACCCGGGAUAGCGGACCCUUCCUCGCUGUCACCACACUGACACCUAGCAGAGAGGUCCAAGGCUCUGAGGAUGCUCUUUCCCACUGGACAAUGGGACUGAGUGGGGGAACUGGGGGGGGCCAGCAAAGACCAAGGCGGUGCACAGGUGGAUCCCAAAAGGGACCUGCGGCCAGAGCAGCUUUCCCUCCAGCCCACGCUGCCCUCGGCACCUGCUGCACUGCGUCUCAGGCUGCAUACGGAUUUCCUGGGGAGGAGGCACUGCUGACAGGGCCCUGGGGCUGCAGGAACCCAUGGCUGUGCCCCCCAACAGGCUGGUGACCCCAUGGUGCAGCUGGGGCAGGGAAAGGCACCAGGAGAAGUGAGAGAAAGCAGCACACAGAGACUGUGUCAGGAAACAGGAAUUUAUUCCUUUUUCUUCAAUAUAGAUUUGCCAGAGCCCUGCUACUGUCGACGGCGGGGCGGCCUCUUGCAGGGCUGGGGAGAGUCCUGGGGGCCAGGGUUCCUCCUCUUUGGGGGGCGCCGGGGCACCCCAGGCGAGCGGUCCCUGUCACGGCCGGGAGCGGAGGGGCUGUGGCUGCAGCCCUGGGCAGAGGGACCUGCUGCCACCGCCUGCCCCGGCUCCUCCUGGGGCUGCUCCUGCUCUGCAGGGACAGGUACAGAUUGGGAGCGAAUGGGACCCCUGCACAGGGCGGCCUCCGACGAGCUGGGCUGCUCCUCCAUGUUGGAGCCUGCAGAGCUGCUGGAGGAGGCCUGGCUGGGGUCAGGAUUCCGCCAUUGGAAGCUGGUGGGGCUGGGGCUGGCUGCUGGGCUGUCCUCCUCCUCCUCGGCAGCGUAGGACCACAGCAGCCUCCAGGCCUCCUGGCUGCACCGCUGCUCGAUGAUGUUGAUGAGGCCAUGAACCAGCGGUGCUGCGUGUUCCUCGAGUCCGGGCUGCAUCCGCUGGACCACGGCCUCCUCGUCCAGCCCGCAGCAGCACAGGUCGUUUAGGAGCAGCUUUUCUCCUGCCCUUGCCAGCCACCACUCUUCCUCAUAGAUGGCCUCCAGCUGCCGGCGCAGCCAGGGCAGCACAGGGCGCAGGAGAUACUGGUGUCUCUGGAAAAGCGUCGCCCAGAUCUCAGGUGGGAGGCCACCCACAGUAACCCUGGCCUGUGUCCCCGCAGCCCCCUGCUCUCCCAGGAACGGCAUCCCCUGUGGAGAGGACGGAGGGGACGCCGUGGGGCCAUGGGGGCUGCUGUUGGCCGGGGGGCUGGGAGCUCUGGCUGCCUGGCUGCUGGCGACUGACGGCUGUGCGGGGGGCGUGAUGACGAGCUCCAGGUAGUCAUCUUCUGCCCGCACAGAAAACUUGAUCUGCUCCAUCUGUUGUCUGCAGAGUGGGCAGUUCGAUGUCCUUUUUGCCCACCGCAGGAUGCAGUCCAGGCAGAACUGGUGUUGACACGGCUGCACGGAUGCGAUGUCCUUCUGGGCUUCACGGCAGAUGGGGCAGGUUCUUUCUUCCUCCGCGGCCAUGUUUGUGCUGCACGUGGGGUUGGGGAGAGCUAAGGAUGAGGAGCUGCUCCUCCUUGCUUGUGCUUGCUGUACAAAAGUGUGUUGCACGCUGCAAAAUGGAGAGAGGCCUUGGUCAUUCCACGUCCCAGGGAGGGGAGAAGAGGACAAAAUGUCUAGGCCCCUGGAAAACAACACACUCCUGGCUCCCCAAUCCCCAUCAGCCACCCACGGCCACCCAGGGGGACGUUUCCCCACACAGCUCACCUCUGCUGCUGCAAGUGUGUCUGCAGUGCCCGGCUGCCUGAACCAGGCAGGGCCGGGGAAACACAACGGAUGGCUCUGGAAUUGGCACCGAGAGCUGCUGACAGCAGCCCCCAAAGCACCACCCAGCACCACGAGAAGCCUCGCUCAGAGCUCCAGACCUCGCAAGCUGCUCCGCAGGAGUCCAGGCACGAGCCAGGCUGGGCCAGGCUCUGCUGACGCCCCAAGAUAAGCAGCGAGGGACGUGAGGUCACAGUCCAUUGCUUGAUGAUGUCACCAUCCACCCCUCGGUUACGCAAGCCUCUGCCACCUGGUGAUGUCACCACAAGCCUUCUGACCCUUCAGUGUUUUUUCAAAGACAAGAGAAGGGCACGUUCAUCACACCAUGGGCCUUGUGCCUCCCUCUGCUGUGCAACCAUGAGAAAAGCACAGGUGUGCAGAAACUGUGUCAGAGAUCCUGAUGUUCUGAAAUGUUACUGUGGGCCUAUUAGGAGCGUGCUGGCCUAGCAUCAACGCUGUUUACGAAACAUAUAAAGAUCCAUUUCAGAUGGAUGAGACAUUUUGUACUAAAAAAAAAAAAUAAAUCUUUGUACAAUUAAAUACAA